rnacentral:rRNA from 1 species
ACUCCUACGGGAGGCAGCAGUAGGGAAUCUUCCACAAUGGGCGCAAGCCUGAUGGAGCAACACCGCGUGAGUGAAGAAGGGUUUCGGCUCGUAAAGCUCUGUUGUUAAAGAAGAACACGUAUGAGAGUAACUGUUCAUACGUUGACGGUAUUUAACCAGAAAGUCACGGCUAACUACGUGCCAGCAGCCGCGGUAAUACGUAGGUGGCAAGCGUUAUCCGGAUUUAUUGGGCGUAAAGAGAGUGCAGGCGGUUUUCUAAGUCUGAUGUGAAAGCCUUCGGCUUAACCGGAGAAGUGCAUCGGAAACUGGAUAACUUGAGUGCAGAAGAGGGUAGUGGAACUCCAUGUGUAGCGGCGGAAUGCGUAGAUAUAUGGAAGAACACCAGUGGCGAAGGCGGCUACCUGGUCUGCAACUGACGCUGAGACUCGAAAGCAUGGGUAGCGAACAGGAUUAGAUACCCUGGUAGGAUAGCC